rnacentral:lncRNA from 1 species
AGGGUGUCUGAUGGUGAAAACCCAGGCCCAUCCCAAUAGGAUGUCUGAUGGUGAAGGGCCCCCCCAAAGGGUGUCUGAUGGUGGAGACCCAAGCCUGCUCCAAUAGGAUGUCUGAUGGUGGAGGACUCACCCUAAAGGAUGUCUGAUGGUGGAGGGCUCACCCUACAGGAUGUCUGAUAGGUGGAGGGCCCACCCUGAAGGGUAUCUGAUAGUGGAGGGCCCACCCUAAAGGAUGUCUGAUGGUGGAGGACUCACCCUAAAGGAUGUCUGAUGGUGGAGGGCUCACCCUACAGGAUGUCUGAUGGUGGAGGGCUCACCCUGAAGGGUGUCUGAUGGUGAAAACCCAGGCCCAUCCCAAUAGGAUGUCUGAUGGUGAAGGGCCCCCCCAAAGGGUGUCUGAUGGUGGAGACCAAGUUCCUGUCCAGGGUGGGCAUCUGGUGGAGUAGUGCAGCCUCUCUCCCCUCCAGGGGCACAGAGCUGGGUGGGGCUGCGUGUAACUCCUGCCCUGCCCUGCAGUGCGCCUUCCUGUUGUUCUGCAUGGCUCCCAGGCCCUGGAACGGGGCUCUCAUGCUGUAUCAGCGCGUCGUGCGCCCGCUGUUCCUAAGGCACCACGGGGCCGUGGACAGGAUCGUGAACAACCUCAGCGGGCGAGCCCUGGACGCGGCAGCCGGAAUAACCAGGAACGUCUUGCAGGCCCUGGCCCGUAGCCGGGCAGGCGUCACCCCAGCGGCUGUGGCCGGGCCUUCCACUCCCCUGGAAGCUGACCUCAAGCCAAGCCAGACCCUGCAGCCGAAGGACAAGUGAAGCAGCCCCCUGGGUCUUGCAGGGACCUCCCGGCUGGUGAGGAGGGGGCCGCGCCGGGCUCCCAGGCCUCCACAGAGUCUUCAGCGCAUCUCCCGACGGCAGCCCCCGCCAGUCCCUCGGGUCCAGGCAAGGCCCUGGGGGUCUCCUUAAAUGCCACCUCGGGCAAGUCCCAGUCCCAGUCCUCGGCCACCCCCAGCUCUGAAUCCCAGGGCCAGCUGCCCUCCGGCUCUGGCCAUGGCAAGGCCCAGGGCCAGCGUCGGGCACGGGGCAGCUCCCAGCGGUCUCGGCAACGCACCCAGCUGCCUGGUAC